UAUUUGUGCUUUCGGGAGUCCUGAAGCCACGAGCUACCAGGUCGCGCCUUUGCAGGAGGCCACCAUUACUUGGCACCUGGAGGCUAUAGUUAAUAUAAGCACAGCUGAGCCAGUCCUUCUGUCACUGCUGGCAGUGGCCUAGAGGAUGCCUAGAAAAUAGCAAGCACGUGGUGAUUGCUGCCUGGGAGGAUCUCCUUGUUCUAGAGGCGUGAGGUACUCAGAGUUCCUGAACAACGUGCAGUGACCCAAGUGUGUCACAGAUGAAUGUGGAAACCACCAGAAAGCCCUGGGCAAUGAGAUGACUUUCCUGGACUACUGGCAGAAAGAGCCUCACAUCUCACAGUGCUGGGCUGGUGUGUGAUUGAAGAGAUCCAACCUACACAGACGGUUGCAAGCUAUAAAACUUCUCCACUCUUUAUUACCGUUUACUGUUAACUGAAUAUUUGCUGUACGUGAAAGCUCUGGUUAAAAUGCAUGUAGUAUAUUUAUACAUCACAGG
ensembl:lncRNA